rnacentral:rRNA from 1 species
CAGCCGCCGCGGGAAUACAGAGGGUGCGAACGUUGCUCGGAAUUACUGGGCGUAAAGCGCGUGUAGGCGGGUCGGCAAGUCAGGCGUGAAAUCCCCAGGCUCAACCUGGGAACUGCGCUUGAAACUGCCGGUCUUGAGUAUCGGAGAGGGUGGCGGAAUUCCUGGUGUAGAGGUGAAAUUCGUAGAUAUUAGGAGGAACGCCGGUGGCGAAGGCGGCCACCUGGACGAUAACUGACGCUGAGACGCGAAAGCGUGGGGAGCAAACAGGAUUAGAUACCCCUGUAGUCCCUGUCUCUUAUAC